rnacentral:rRNA from 1 species
UACGUAGGGUGCGAGCGUUAAUCGGAAUUACUGGGCGUAAAGCGUGCGCAGGCGGUUGUGUAAGACAGAUGUGAAAUCCCCGGGCUCAACCUGGGAACUGCAUUUGUGACUGCAUGGCUGGAGUGCGGCAGAGGGGGAUGGAAUUCCGCGUGUAGCAGUGAAAUGCGUAGAUAUGCGGAGGAACACCGAUGGCGAAGGCAAUCCCCUGGGCCUGCACUGACGCUCAUGCACGAAAGCGUGGGGAGCAAACAGG